UACGAGGGGUGCAAGCGUUGCUCGGAAUUAUUGGGCGUAAAGGGUAGGUAGGUGGUCUCAUUUGUCAGGGGUGAAAUCCUUGGGCUUAACUCAAGAAGUGCCCCUGAAACGGUGAGACUCGAGUCCUGGAGAGGGUCGUGGAAUUCCCGGUGUAGCGGUGAAAUGCGUAGAGAUCGGGAGGAACACCAGAGGCGAAGGCGGCGACCUGGACAGGUACUGACACUCAACUACGAAAGCGUGGGGAGCAAACAGG
rnacentral:rRNA from 1 species